rnacentral:rRNA from 1 species
UACGGAGGGUGCGAGCGUUGUCCGGAAUCACUGGGCGUAAAGGGCGCGUAGGCGGCUUGGCAAGUCAACGGUGAAAGCUUGGGGCUCAACUCCGAGUCGGCCGUGCGAACUGGGCUCACUGGAGCAUAGUAGAGGCAGGUGGAAUUCCGGGUGUAGCGGUGGAAUGCGUAGAGAUCCGGAAGAACACCGGUGGCGAAGGCGGCCUGCUGGGCUAUGGCUGACACUGAGGCGCGACAGCGUGGGGAGCAAACAGG